GGAGUCACAUCUUACGCGGGGGUUAAGUUCUAAAGUCAGUGCGUAAGGCGAAAAUUGCAUGGUGAAAUUGCAG